UACCUACUUCCUCCGUUCGAAAUUACUUGUCGCAGAAAUGGAUGUAUCUAGACGUAUUUUAAUUCUAGAUACAUGCAUUUUCGAGACAAAUAAUUCCGAACGGAGAGAGUAGUUC
rfam:Triticum urartu cultivar G1812 contig719660, whole genome shotgun sequence.